rnacentral:rRNA from 1 species
AGUGAACGCUGGCGGUAGGCCUAACACAUGCAAGUCGAACGGCAGCACAGUAAGAGCUUGCUCUUACGGGUGGCGAGUGGCGGACGGGUGAGGAAUACAUCGGAAUCUACUUUUUCGUGGGGGAUAACGUAGGGAAACUUACGCUAAUACCGCAUACGACCUACGGUUGAAAGCAGGGGAUCUUCGGACCUUGCGCGAUUGAAUGAGCCGAUGUCGGAUUAGCUGGUUGGCGGGGUAAAGGCCCACCAAGGCGACGAUCCGUAGCUGGUCUGAGAGGAUGAUCAGCCACACUGGAACUGAGACACGGUCCAGACUCCUACGGGAGGCAGCAGUGGGGAAUAUUGGACAAUGGGCGCAAGCCUGAUCCAGCCAUACCGCGUGGGUGAAGAAGGCCUUCGGGUUGUAAAGCCCUUUUGUUGGGAAAGAAAAGCAGCAGGUUAAUACCCCACUGUUCUGACGGUACCCAAAGAAUAAGCACCGGCUAACUUCGUG